ACCACCGAAGCACAAGCCACCACAUGGACAUCUUUUGGCCGAGGAAGAGGUCGAGGACUCACACAAAGGGAAGGGAGAGAAGCCACCACCAAAGCACAAGCCACCACAUGGACAUCUUUUGGCCGAGGAAGAAGUUGAGGACUCACACAAGGGAAAGGGAGAGAAGCCACCACCAAAACACAAGCCUCCGCAUGGACAUCUUUUAGCUGAAGAAAAAGUUGAGGACUCACACAAGGGAAAAGGAGAGAAGCCACCACCAAAACACAAGCCCCCGAAUGGACAUCUUUUAGCUGAAGAAGAAGUUGAUGACUCACACAAAGGAAAGGGAGAGAAGCCACCACCAAAGCACAAGCCACCACAUGGACAUCUUUUGGCCGAGGAAGAGGUCGAGGACUCAUACAAAGGAAAGGGAGAGAAACCACCACCAAAACACAAACCUCCACAUGGACAUCUUUUAGCCGAGGAAGAAGUUGAGGACUCACACAAGGGAAAGGGAGAGAAACCACCACCAAAACACAAGCCCCCACAUGGACAUCUUUUAGCCGAGGAAGAAGUUGAUGACUCGCACAAGGGAAAGGGAGAAAAGCCACCACCAAAACACAAGCCACCUCACGGGCACUUAUUAGUUGAAGAGGUUGAAGACUCACACAAGGGGAAAGGAGAAAAACCACCGCCAAAGCACAAACCACCUCAUGGACACCUUUUAGCUGAAGAGGCCAACGACUCUCACAAAGGAAAGGGAGAGAAGCCACCAUGCAAGUCUCCUCACAAACCCCCAUCAGCCAACUAAGUGCCUUACGCUAAUUUCGCUAGAUGCUUAAAAAUAAGAAACAGAAGUAGUUUACUCUUCUGUUGGUUUCUGUAUCUGCAUUUUUCACUGAAUUAGUAUUUGUACUUUGGCUUGUAUUAUAUGAGUACUACCCUCUAGUUGGCUGUUUUAUGUAGAUUAUGGUUUUAUGUUCUAGUGCUGCGCGUAUUAUUUCAGUUGACUUAACUUUUAUUUGCAAAAUAUACAGCAAGACAUGCACACAAUCCUAGUACGUAGUUUUGCCACAUGCAUAUAUUUGGUGGUAGGAUAUUGUCAACGACAACAACGUUUAAUUACUUUAACUUAAACACGUGCUGAUGAUUUUUUUUUUUGUAAAAGCCCUUUAUUAGUAAACUAGUAUUACUCUGACAUCAACAGAUAUACCAUAGGUUUUGUCUAAAACUUGAAGGUUUCUGUAGUUUAAUUUGGUAAGUAAAAUUUUUUGUGUGUAGCACAUAAUGAAUAUGUUACUUACAUGUGUAGAUUUAUAUUUUACAUUUUAUUUUAAUAUUAGAUAAUUAAUAUAUAUAUAUUUAAUUAUUUAAAUUUAUAUAUAUUACUAAUUUAUUAAUUUAGUCUAUAUAUAUAUAUGAUAUACAUUUAAGUUAAAUUAGGUAAGAAGUUAUUAAGUACUUCCAAAUUAAUAUGAAAUAAUUCUCUAAAGGAAAUGAAUCAACUCUUGGAAAAUGUCGGGAGAAAAGAUUUCAAAUUUCUGCAUGUCUCUGUUUCUGCUCAGUGGAUGUCUCUGUUUCUGCUUGCUGCCUAUGUUGCAAUAUUUAUUUGGCUUUUUAUUCCUGGUAAAUUUCUUAUUUUCCUCUUAAUUUUGACUAGGCCGGCUGAUUCGGGAGUAAGAUUUAAGUAGUUUUAUAUUUAAUGAAAAGUAGAAUUCUGAAGAAGCGAAAAUAAAUAUAAAAAGGGAUAAUUGGUGUUCUGAGUGAAUCAUUAUUAAACACAAAAUUAGUAUUACAAACAAAAUUGCAAUUAUCAAAAUGACAGUAUGCUCCACAGAUAGAUGAUUAUCUAAUCAGUACUUAUAAUUAGCCUAAAUUUAAUAGGAAUAGUACAGAAUUAAACUUUCUUUUUUAAAAAAAGGGUCAUUAAACUGAAUCAUAAGAACAGGAUAGAGAGUAUUUGUAAUCAAAGAAACAUAGAGAGAAUUCAAAGUAAUGCCCCCAGAUGAUAGCCCUGAACAAUAAAUAUUACUUAGAAAAACAAACUGCCAAGAGAAAUUAGUCAAUAAAAUUUAGAUUGAAUCACGAUAUUUAUAAACGAGUAGAUAAAUAUAUCUUUUUUAUUAAAAAAUAAUAUUGCAUAAUUCAUCUUAAUUUAUUUCAACUUUUACUCAUAAAAUGUGAUAUAUAAUAUAUUUAUAAAAUUAUUAAUAUUUUGAUAUUACUCUCUUAAUUAAUAAAUAAUUCCAUAAAAACAUCAUACACCAUAUUAUAUAAACAAUAGUUGGGACAAAUCAAAAUGAAAUGUUUAGCAUUUUUCUAGUUAAAACCUAUUCUACAAUUCAAACCAAAAAUAGCAGUCCAAGAAAGCAUAUCUUUCACUAAUAAUCCAAACAAAUCGCUAAUUCUAAACAACCACGUUUUGGUUAAAAGAUUAUUAAUUUAGUUUGUCUAAUAAUUCGAUCCUGAAUUUGCUGAGCCGCAGUAGGAUCUCGCUCGUAUAUACAAAUCCUGAAGAAGAUCACUAUAAAUUUCUGAUCCAAUAAUGAAACUUUGAAGUCCAUAAGUAGGUUUAGGAGAAAUUUAAAGGCAGAUUCAGUUUUAAUAUUAAAUUAUAAAUAAUAUCAAUUAUACAGUAAUAUAUAACAUUAUUUACUGAUUAUUACACUUAUAUCAGUUGAAUUCUAGCCAUAAAUAAUGAAUGGUAUGGAUAGUAGUACUUAAAAAGAAUAAUCUCCAUAUAUAUAUAAAUGCAUGGAAUUUAAUAACUUUCACACCUAUGAAAUUAUCCCACCUAAAACAGAAAACCUUAGUAUUAAAUUGAGAAUAAUGCAGAAAUAUAAAUAUUUGAAAUAAUUACAAAUAAUGCAGAAAUACAAGGACCGCAGGAAAACAGAGGCCACACACUCUUGGCUGGAAUGAUUUUCCUAUUUUUGCAUGCUCACCCAUUACUCUACUCUAUCGCAUUAUUAUUGUUCAAAACUUCACAACUUAACAAAUAUACUUCCAACACAUCACAUGCGUGACCCAUUAAUUAUUACAUGUGAACGUAAAAUGAGAAGUGGUGACAACAGCAGUGAUGUCACACUUUCUGAUAUUACUACAAUUCUUGGAUGACUUACCUUAAUUCCUUUCUGGUGCAUGUUGCAGUAAUUUAUUAGAAAUACAUAAGACCUUUUUUUUCUUCCUAUCUCUUUGUUUCAUUGUAGAAUAGUCCGAGACAACGAUAAUAUCUUACACUUAAUUUGUCUGUAAAUAUAUAUACACUUGACUUUACAUGCUAUAGUAUUAUUAACUAGUCACCUAGACAGAUUUGAAGUAGAUAAUAUUUAUCGAUAAAUUACUUUCUAGAUUUCUAUUUUAUGGUUACAUACAUCAAAAUUUCUGCAAAACAAGUGGAGAAUAGCCUAAUUUGGGGAUUCAAAGAAACUUUGAUGGCUUCUUUUUCUACUCGAAAUUAUACUAAAAAUAAUUCAUAAACAUGAAUGAUCCAAGGGUGGAGAGCAAGACUCUUAGCCAGUUUGUCAAAAAUUUUAACUCGAUGGGACCCAAUAGAUCUAAUUGGUUCGUAAGAGAGCCAAAUGUAUUCAACUUCACUACAUAGUGUACUAAUCUAUAGUAAAGGACAGGUGCAGUAUGACAUGGGUGGUGACGACAUAGUCCCACCGUCCACCCAUGCAAUAUUAUAAAAGGCAGAGCAAAGCUUCAAGUUUUGCACCAUCAACUGAACCCCAAAUAUGUCUUCUAAAUACUUGCUAGUGUUGUUCCUCCUCGGAGCAUUAGUGCUUCUCUUCACAACCCCCUCAUAUGCUGAUCAUCAUGAGCCCCUUAGAAAUAAAGGAGAGAAACCACCUCCAAAACAUAAACCACCACAUGUUCAUCUUCUAGCUGAAAAUAUAGAAGAUUUUCAUGGACAUGCAAAAGGUAAAAGAGACAAGCCACCACCUAAACAUAAACCACCACAUGGACAUCUUUUAGCUGAGGAAGUAGAUGAUUAUUCUACAUCUCCGGGAUGGAAACUACAUAAUCCUCCAUCAGAGCAUAAACCACCGCAUAAGCCUCCACAUGAGCAAAAGCCACUAAAUAGACGUCUUUUACAAGUAGAUAUUGAGGAUGCACAUAAAGAAAAGGGAGAGAAGCCACCACAUGGACAUCUUUUGGCCGAGGAAGUUAUGGAGGACUCGCCUAAGAAAAAGGGAGAGAAGCCACCACCAAAGCACAAGCCACCACAUGGACAUCUUUUGGCCGAGGAAGAGGUCGAGGACUCACACAAAGGGAAGGGAGAGAAGCCACCACCAAAGCACAAGCCACCACAUGGACAUCUUUUGGCCGAGGAAGAAGUUGAGGACUCACACAAGGGAAAGGGAGAGAAGCCACCACCAAAACACAAGCCCCCGCAUGGACAUCUUUUAGCUGAAGAAAAAGUUGAGGACUCACACAAGGGAAAAGGAGAGAAGCCACCACCAAAACACAAGCCCCCGCAUGGACACCUUUUAGCUGAAGAAGAAGUUGAUGAUUCGCACAAGGGAGAGGGAGAAAAGCCACCACCAAAACACAAGCCACCUCACGGGCACUUAUUAGUUGAAGAGGUUGAAGACUCACACAAGGGGAAAGGAGAAAAACCACCGCCCAAGCACAAACCACCUCAUGGACACCUUUUAACUGAAGAGAUCAACGACUCUUACAAAGGAAAGGGAGAGAAGCCACCUCACAAGCCUCCCCACAAACCCCCAUCAGCCGACUAAGUACCUUAGGCUAAUUUCGCUAAAUGCUUAGAAAUAAGAAACAGAAGUCUACUCUUCUGUUGGUUUCUGUAUCUGCAUUUUCACUGAAUUAGUAUUUGUACUUUGGCUUGUAUUAUAUGAAUACUACCCUCUAGUUGGCUGUUUUAUGUAGAUUAUGGUUUUAUGUUCUAGUGCUGUGUGUAUUAUUUCAGUUGAUUUAACUUUUAUUUGCAAACUAUACAGCAAUACAUGCACUUACUCCUAGUACGUAGUUCUGCCACAUGCAUAUAUUUGGUGGUAGGAUAUUGCCAACGACAACAACGUUUAAUUACUUUAACUUAAAUCAAAUAUGAAAUGAUUCUCUUAAUUAAAACUAAAUUUUUUUUAUACCCUAAUUUAACCCUUAUUUAUUAAUUAUAUUUAUUAAAUCUCUUAUUAGUUAAAGUAUAUAUAAUAAAACUAGGUAAGAAUGUGUGAGAUUUCAAAUUUCUUCAUAUCUGUCACUGGUUAUUUCAUGUCUCUGUUUCUGCUUGCUGCCUAUGUUGCAACAUUCAUUUGGCUUCUUAUUCCUAGUCAAUUACUUAUUUGCCUCUCGAUUUUGACUAGGUCGAUAGUAAGCUUAAAGUUUAAUUUCAAACAGUUUCAUAUUUAAAGAAAAGUAGUAUUUUGAAGAAGCGGAAAUAAACACAAAAAAAAGAUAGUUGGUGCAAUGAGUAAAUCAUUUUCAAAUAUAAAAUUAUUAUUACAAGCAAAAUUGGAAUUAUUAGAAUGACAGUAUGCUCCAAAGAUAAGAGUAUAAUAUGAAUAGUACAAAAUUAGCCUUUUUCUUUAAACAAAAUAAUUCAGUAAACUGAUCAUAAGAACGUAAUAAAGAGUAAAAUUCUAUCCUACAUUUGUAUUUCAAAAGUAAAAAAUAUUAAUUUUUAAAUACAUUUGGUUCUCAGUGAUUGACAAGAUAAAAUCUUAUUUAACUUUCUCCUUAUAGAGUAGGAAUUCCAGAUACAUAUUAUCUUACCAAGGGUUUGAUAAUGACAUUUUAAUUACAGCACCACUAUAGACAAGUAGCCAUUGUUAAUGGAGGUUAUCAUUCCAAUUUCCCUCUUGUGAAGUUAUUAAUUUGUGGAGAUUAUAAAGGACUCCAAUCUUUAACCCUUCCAAUGAGUUAAAAAAAUAUAAAAUAUUUCUUAUCAAAUUGCACCAUCAACAACUCAUACGAAUGCCACCUUUAUGGCCGCAAAACAGAGUGCUUGAUAACCAAAUUUAAGAUAAAUCUCAAUUCGACGGUAAGUGCAUCACUUAGAUUUGUUACAUCCUAAUAAUAUAUACUAAAUUUAUAAAUAAUUAAUAUAUAUUUUAUUAAUUUAAAUAAUAAAAUAUAUAAAUUAUAUAUAUAUCAACUGCCAGUGGUACCUUUUUUAAACUAAAGGAAGCUAUUAGUGGAGACAAGCUUUAGAAGUGAACGCCACUCAUCUGCUAAACUACAAAAGAUGCCACCACACCUCUGACGUCAAAUGAUAUGCAUGUGCUCUAGUCACUGUUGAAACUAAGAAAUUAUUAACCGUGAGCCUAAUAUCCAAAGAACCUUUGGAUCCAAUCAAUUGAUUUUAGAUAAACUAUGGUGAAAAUAUAUCAUUUUUCGUUACUCUUCAGCUUUCCACCAAAUUCAGCCCCCCAAAAGUUCAAGAAAAAAAAUUAAUACCAAGGAUAAUAUAAAUUCCAAGAGUUUAGGCGAAUAAUUUUUUUUCUGAUCAGCAUUUUGCAAUUAGUUGAAAAUUGGAACUUGCCAGAAGCUGUGCAGCUCAAUUUUAUCAGGCACAUACGAAAACACACUUCCUAUUUCUCUGAAAGUUUGUCUUGCAGCAGUUUAAGAUGAACAAAAGCAAGUUGGUUUUCUGCUUGUAAUUUACAACUCAAUUAGAUUAUAGAAGAAAUUAAAACAGUAAUAUGUAAUUCUUUGGGGCAUAACCUUUAAUACUACUGAUAAGUAUAACGGAUACGUUCCUAAAUUAUAUUGUACUAAAUUUACAACCGCAAGGAGAUCCAAGUUGGAGAGUUAAUAAUCACACUAGGUUAGGAGAAAGAGCAAUAACUUGGCCAUAUUGUCAAAGUUUUCAACUAGUUGGAACCCGGUGGAUCUUCUUCUCUAAACCGGUGGAUCUUCUUCUCUAACAUGAAAUUUUAAACAGCCAACUUGACUGCAUAGGGUACUAGGUUAGUAAAGACAAGAAAGUAUGACAUGAACAAAAACCACUUAAUAGACGUCUUUUACAAGUAGAUAUUGAGGAUGCACAUAAAGGAAAGGGAGAGAAGCCACCGCAUGGACAUCUUUUGGCCGAGGAAGUUAUGGAGGACUCGUAUAAGAACAAGAGAGAGAAGCCACCACAUGGACAUCUUUUGGCCGAGGAAUAAGUGGAGGAUUCACGCAAAGGAAACGGAGAGAAACCACCACCAAAACACAAACCUCCACAUGGACAUCUUUUAGCUGAAGAAGAAGUUGAUAACACACACAAAGGAAAAGGAGAGAAGCCACCACCUUAUGCGCACUUUUUAGUUGAAGAGGUUGAAGACUCGCACAAGAGAAAGGGAGAAAAACCACCGCCAAAGCAUAAACCGCCUGUCACGACUCAAUCUGUAGGUCCGUAAUCGGCGCUAGUGAAUGGGUAGGCUUAAGGCCAUCAAAAUUCAUAGCAAGCCUAAUUAGCCAAAGAUCUAAAUAAACAUAUAUAUAAUUAUAUACUACUAAAACAAUCCAACAUUUCACUCACAAAUCUACAUAUAAUUAAUUUAAUCCUCCAGCUGGAUUACUAGCAAACAUCCCAUAAUUUUUUUUUACCGACAUAAUUUAAAUACAAGAUACCGGGUACAUUACUGCGGAGAGUCUAGAAUUUUAAAUAAUUUAAAAUAUAAAAAUAAGAUUUAAUUACAAUAAGUCCGAAAGAGAAGGAAAGUCGGGUUGUAAAAAAUGUCGGCGAAAAACCUAGCUGUCACCUGAAAAAUUUAGAAUUUAGACUGUCAGUCUCAGGAGUGAGUUAAAAUUAAAUAUCAUAAGUAAAACAAAAUGGUUGAUAAAAUAAUGUAGUGCAUCAUAAACUAAUAAAUAAGUGUCACAAUAUAAUUUAAAAUAAUUAAUUUUUAGCUCUUAAGGGAUGAGCACUUCAGUAGAGCCCUAACCUCAAUAUUAGCAGCCUUCGGCUCUCUUAUUACAGUAAGACUGGUGCCUAAAGAGCGAAGCUCAACCAUGGUCCUUAAAUCUAGUUUGAUCACUUGAUUUCUAAUAAAGUCAGCACCCAUAUAGGAAGGCUAGAUAAGGGACCUUUCCUUCGGCAAUCAAAUUCUCACAGCUCAGAGAGUUGUACUCGACCAGAGCAAAUCCCAAAAUAUUCUUUUAUUACCUGUCUUUGAUUAAUAUCGGUGCAUGAGCAUUCUUGAUGCAACCCAUCAGGUGACAUGUUAUACUGCUGCCUCAUCCCGAAGUUACGAUCAUAGCAUCAAUAAUAAUUAUAAAUAAUAUAAAUCAUAAGCAAACAUAAUUAUUCAAUAACAUAAUAAGAAUUAAAGUUGAGUAGUCUCGAAUAUAGCAAACAUGAAAAUUAUGUAUGAUAAUAGUAAUAAUGAUAAAAUAACAAUAAAUAUGAUAACAAUAAUAAUAAUAAUAAUAAUAAUAAUAAGAAUAAUAUCAAUAAUAACGAAAAUGAAAUUAAUAAUAAUGAUGCUAAUAAUAUUCGUAAUAAUUAUUAAUCAACUAAAAUUACUAAUAAAAAUACUAAUAAUAAUCAUAAUAAUUAUUAAUCAAUUAACAUUACAUUUAAUUUAGACAUGACAUAAAAGCAGUUGAUUAUAUACUUUAAUUCACAGUACUGCAGUGCUACGCAGUCUGCUUCUAUGCUUUGGGUGGAGCUGGUUGGACGAACGGAUUAUCUAUUUACGAGAAACAACUCAAUUAAUGAGAUAUUAUUAAUUUUUCUAGGCCUAAACUUCUAAAUUAGACUGCCUAAAAAAUUUUGACUCGGAAAUUCUACCGAAAAUUUGAUAGAACCUCCCUUAAAAUAUGAACGUUAACCCACCCCCCCCCCCCCCCCCCCAUAUAACAGGUCCAGAACCUACUAGAAAACACUUCAAAUAUUUCACAUUUAUUUAACGGGGUAGAGGCAUUAUCUUUCCGACUCCGAAAUAUAACCUAAAUCACAAUAUAAAAAUUAACAGUCCGGCAAAAUAAUAUUAUUCACGAUACAUUAUACAAAUAUUUUUUCUCGCAUUUAAUUCAAUUACUCACAGCCUCAAAUUUACAUAGCAGAAUAUUAAAUCUUUCUGUAAUUAAUCUGCAGUAAUUCUAAAAUCAAGCUACCAAUUAAUUAAAUAAUUUAAUUAAUUAAUUAUAACUAACAAUUUAUACUCCAAUUAUUUUCUAAUAAUUUCAAAAUAAAUUUUCAAGUCUAGAUAAAAUUAUACUGAGCCGAAACUCGAACUUUUGUGCGUCCGAGAAACACCAGAGUUUGAAAGCCGGUACCACCAACGAUAUCGGAUUUCGAAUCCGGAAGCACCUACGAAGCUUGAGUUGUGGGGAGUCUGAGUAUGCAAAUGUCUUCGCUUGAAACUAGUCGGAAGUCACCAGAUCGAGGCUGAAAAGUUUCGGCUCCAGCGAGACUCAUCCAUUGCAGCUGGCGGAGGAAAAACAUCAGGGAGGAGCUGGCUUUGGGUUAUCAAUGGUGGCGAGCACGAUUCCGACAUUGGACUGAUGAAAGGGCGACGGCAGGCGGCUAUUCUUACAGUGGCAGCAAGGGAGGAGCUUUCCUUCCUGCAACUUGUCAUCGGCAAUAAGAAAGAAGAAAAAGGAGGCGAUGCUGGCAAGGGAGGGGGAAGAAGAAGGAGUUUACGUUAGCUAGAAAAAGAGGACAGGCGACAGAAAGAAAGGGAGUGGAGGAGGAGGAAGAGAGGUGGCAUCACGAAAAGAGAAGAAAGAAGAGAGGGAAUUUUUUUUUUGUAUAAAAGAUGAAAAAUUACAAAUGAGUCCCCUUUCAAAAAGUUGCUACGAUGACCCCCUUGGCCCAAUUUCUUUUUGUUUAUUUAUUUAUAAAUGUUAAAUAUUGACUUAUCAAUAAUUAAUUUAAUAUAAAUUAAAAAAUUUAUCAAAUUACCCGAAUAUAAAUUAAAACAAUUAAAAUUUAAAUUUAUAGGUAUUACACCACCUCAUCGAUACCUUUUAGCUGAAGAGG
rnacentral:lncRNA from 1 species